CCAGUAGGGUGCCUAUACAUGCAGUCGAGCGAACUGAUUAGAAGCUUGCUUCUAUGACGUUAGCGGCGGACGGGUGAGUAACACGUGGGCAACCUGCCUGUAAGACUGGGAUAACUUCGGGAAACCGAAGCUAAUACCGGAUAGGAUCUUCUCCUUCAUGGGAGAUGAUUGAAAGAUGGUUUCGGCUAUCACUUACAGAUGGGCCCGCGGUGCAUUAGCUAGUUGGUGAGGUAACGGCUCACCAAGGCAACGAUGCAUAGCCGACCUGAGAGGGUGAUCGGCCACACUGGGACUGAGACACGGCCCAGACUCCUACGGGAGGCAGCAGUAGGGAAUCUUCCGCAAUGGACGAAAGUCUGACGGAGCAACGCCGCGUGAGUGAUGAAGGCUUUCGGGUCGUAAAACUCUGUUGUUAGGGAAGAACAAGUACGAGAGUAACUGCUCGUACCUUGACGGUACCUAACCAGAAAGCCACGGCUAACUACGUGCCAGCAGCCGGGGGUAAUACA
rnacentral:rRNA from 2 species